UACGUAGGGGGCAAGCGUUGUCCGGAUUCAUUGGGCGUAAAGAGCGUGUAGGCGGCCAGGUAGGUCGGUUGUGAAAACUGGAGGCUCAACCUUCAGAGGUCGACCGAAACCAUCUGGCUAGAGUCCGGGAGAGGAGAGUGGAAUUCCUGGUGUAGCGGUGAAAUGCGCAGAUAUCAGGAAGAACACCCGUGGCGAAAGCGGCUCUCUGGUACGGUACUGACGCUGAGACGCGAAAGCGUGGGGAGCGAACAGG
rnacentral:rRNA from 1 species